AGAGUUCGAUCAUGGCUCAGAACGAACGCUGGCGGCAUGGAUUAGGCAUGCAAGUUGAACGAACUCCUUCGGGAGUGAGUAGCGAAAGGGUGAGGAACGCGUGAGUAAUCUGCCCAUAAGUUGGGAACAACAGUUGGAAACGACUGCUAAUACCGAAUGUGGCUAUUGACCCGCAUGGGUUUUUGGCUAAAGAUUUAUCGCUUAUGGAUGAGCUCGCGUCCCAUUAGCUAGUUGGUGAGGUAACGGCCCACCAAGGCUACGAUGGGUAGCUGGUCUGAGAGGAUGGUCAGCCACACUGGGACUGAGACACUGCCCAG
rnacentral:rRNA from 1 species